GCUUUUGUACAGUAUGGGCAGACUCUCUUGAGUGUUUUAAAAGGCAGCCACUCAGAAGCCAGCCAGUCUGUCUAAGCUCUCCUAGAGGUAAAUUAGGGACCUGACAAGGCUCCAUCCACAUUCUUGCAGCGCCUCCUAGAGGCAUAUCGUAUUUAUAUGCCUGUUGAUCUGGAGGGAUUGGAAGACAGACGUGCCUUAAAUAUCAUGUCUGUUUCCCAGUCGGCCCCAGAUAUUACAAAAAGAUUAGGACACUCUCAGAGUUAGUGGAGGUAGCCCAAAAGGUCUUCAGCAACAAAGAAGAUCCAUGAGACUUGAACAUCUUAAAAAUCCCUUCCCCGAAGACUUAAGUGCCAAGUUAAAAAAUUUCUAGGGGCUUUGGGCUACUGCUAGCUGUGGAUCCUGGGUUUUGCUGACAUGGCUCAAUCACUCUACACUUCUGCUGGAAGGGAUCCGUCUGGAACAUUAACCUGGACUGAGCUAGAGGAACAAGCUCUCCCUGCACCUUUGUAAUUACAUGUAGCUAAGAGCCGUGGGAUCACAGAAGGGGUCUUAACCAGUGCCUAGGAUACUGGAAGAGGCCUGUCACCCCAUGGCUGCAAGGUGGUCAGAUUGUCUAUGGACAAUUUCAGCCACUGCAAACAAGAAAGCCUCUAAGUUGACUUUUGGCCAGAGACUCAAGAUAGCGGCCCCACAUACUGUGAAGACACUAUUGUCAUCGCCUCCCAAUAGAUGGCUUUCUAGUGCUCACAUUGUCCAAUACCAAGCCCUUCUACCAGAUCCUGACCACAUCAAGUUCCUGUCUACUGCAUCCCUCAAUUCAGCGACCCUCCUGCCAGAUGAUGAUCCCUCAAUGCUGAUACAUAAUUGUAUGGACAUUAUUGACUCAGUCUCAAGCCUGUGAGCUGACCUGACUGAUGUCCCACUUGUCCAGCCUGAAGCCAUCCUUUUUACAGAUGGUAGAAGUUACCUCCACCAAGGUACUUGAGUGGCAGAAGCUAUGGUGACCACCAGAACUGAGGUAAUAUGGGCCCACACUUUACGGUUGGGAACUUCAGCUCAGUAGGCAGAACUGAUAGCCCUCACUCAAGCCCUAAGAUGGGGACAGAAUAAAUUAUAAAUAUAUAUACAGAUAAUCUGCAUACUUUUGCUACCGUCUAUGUUCCUGGGGCCAUUUAUAAUGAAAGAAGACUAUUAACCUCAUCAGGGAUGAAGGUCAAGAAUGCCCUCUGAGAUCUUAGACCUUGUGGCUUGCCAUUUGGUUGCCUUGAAAGGUUGCCAUUAUGAACUGUUUGGGGCACCAAUGAAAAGACACCCCAAUAGGUUGUGGAAAUGCCCUUGCUGAUAAGACAGCCAAAGAGGUGGCACUAAAACCAGUGGGCUCUGAAAUGCUCCUUCCAGCUUUCCCACCGCCUGUGCUACCCAAGCCAUCCUUUUCAGAUUCAGACUUGAGACCAACCAAGAGCCUAGAGGCCUGUCCUAGUUAGGGGUUGUGCAGAGAACAAUUAGAAUCAGGAUAUGAAUUUUAUAAUAUUUUUAUAAUGGUCACCAGGAGUUAACACAAGAAAUUGCAGGAAAUCUAUCCACAACACCAAAAACAUAGAAUAUUUAGUCAAGGCCUAAAUCCCACAGCAAUGUCUCAGAUGAGUCCAGAUGAAAACUCAGAGCUCAUGACAAUACCUCCCAUGAGUCCACCUGGAGGUCCAAAGCCCACAAGAAGGAUUCAUGCCAGUCUGUUUUUACGGAUCCAUGCCAGGAAGGCCCAAAGGUCAGAAGUGGAAGCCAGAAAGUUCAUGCCAGUGCAGGUGAAGGAGCUGUACUGGUAGAUUGAGGGUUCUACGCUGGAGUUAAGAAGUCACACAAAAAAACCAGGGCUGUCCUGAAAAGCACCACAGCCAUCCUCAGUGACACGGAGGCCCCGAGCUCCUCUGAUGACAAGCACAGUCAGGUAUGUGCCGGGAAGUCAGUGUGACAAGUUCAUCCUGGAGACCAAGCAGCACACAUCUUCCCCUCCAGAGCCAGGAAGCAAUGCUCAAUGUGAGGACCAGAGUUCCUCCAGGAGAAUCUAAUAGCUCAAACAGCAACUCGUAGGAGAACCCACAGUGCCCCAACGCAGCAACACAUUAACACCUCCAUUCUCUUUCUCCACCUGUCUAUUUAUGCUGGCAACUUUCCUCAAGUGGAGCAUCUGUGCUCAGUGCCAUGCUGAUGUAAUCCAGCUGGCAUUAAAUUGACCACCAGUUCUUAAUCCAUAACAAGGCCCAACUUUCUCCAGAAGAGUGGCAGACUUUACCGGAAGGGCAAAUUCUCAUCUUAGAAUCAUUGGGCCCUCAGGUCAUCCAGGAAACCCAUUGGGCCACACUCAACUUAGGGGGAACCAAAUUGGCCAAGUUAACUUAACUGACUAAAGAGUUCAACCCAAAAAUGCUCACAAUGUCUUUAGAUGAACCCUAAGCUGGCCCCCACUGAUGUUCAAAAGACAAGGAUUUACCCCUGGAGACAAUUAAGAAAUAGAUUUUUAUGGGCCCAGGAAGGAGGGAGCCAUAAAUAUCACUUAGUUCUCGUAGACACGUUCACCGGAUGGACUGAAGGAUUCACCACUAGGACUGAAUCAGCUCUCUCAGUAGCUAAGAAGCUCCUCUAUGAGAUAAUGCCUUGAUUUGGUUUGUCCACCUCCUUGGUCCAACAUUGGCCCAGCUUUUAUAGCUCAGAUUACUCAAAAUUUAGCUGCAGCUUUAGAAAUCAAUUGGAAAUUACAUUGUGCCUCCCGGUCUCAAAGUUCAGGCCAAAUAGAAUGAACAGAACCAUAAAGGAAACUUUCAAAACUGGCUCUUGAGACUGGUGAAAACUGGGCUCUCUAGCCCCUUUUGCACUCUAUCCACCGCUUGUUCCAGGGCCACCAGACUGUUCCUGAAAGACCUGGUGACUCUCUAGUAGCCCAACCUGGUGAUCAAAUCUACAUCAACAGAAAGGACCCUCUGCUACAGCUGUCAAGGUCACCACAAAGAGCCACUGGAUUCAUCACUCGCACUUCACGCCCGAAGGACCGGAAACUCCAGCUAAGUGGACUACAGAAAGUCUUCUGACCCUUUGAGAGUCAAACUCCAAAGAUGCGAGCCAUAAGACUGUUUAUAUGUGGGUUACUAUUGGGACCAAUAAUCGAACCCAGAUGGUGGACACCUUAAACCUUGAUUCUGGUUCUUCAUGCUGGUGGAGACAGUGACCUAAGUCCCUCACUUUGGAAAACGUUCAGAGCUUUGGACUUUGCAUUCAAUCUGUACGUUUCCCUUUGAAGCACUCCCCAUUUCAAAUCAAUUGUAAUUCAACUGUAUGUACUUUUAGAUAAGAAAGAUGACCAGGAAUCAAGGACUUGAUUCAUGUACUAAAACCAGUGGGGAGUGUUGUAGCUUAGCAUAACGCCAUCUUGUGCCCUGAAUUUGACCCAGAAGAGUGAAAAAUUACUCAGGGUACAAGCCCCAUGAGACAAGCAGAAUGAGCUGCGCCCACAAGAGAAAAGUUAAUCUGCUCAACAAAGAAACAAGAUAUAGGUGUCAACUAAAAAUUAAUGUAAGAGUCUGGCUAAAUUGUUUCCAACAGAAUGUCUUUUUUGUGACUUUCUGUUUUAAAAGCUUUGUAACUUUCCAGUUCAGUGCCACUUGUUUUGACUCUGAAACAGGUCUACAGGUGGUCGCAAAAUUCAGCUAAUAAAAUUCCAAAUUUAGCAA